rnacentral:ribozyme from 1 species
AGAGAGAGAAAGAAAUACAUGCGCAAAGAUUACAGAAGGGGCGUGAUUUGUCUUGAAACUGUAUUAUAAAUAGAGCUGUUUUAAGAUUUUUCUUUUCUCGAAGUUUUUUCGUUUCUCUAUUUCGCGCUCUCUCU